CCUACGGGAGGCAGCAGUAGGGAAUCUUUCACAAUGGGCGAAAGCCUGAUGGAGCAACGCCGCGUGCAGGAUGAAGGCCUUCGGGUUGUAAACUGCUUUUAUAAGCGAGAAAUAUGAUGGUAACUUAUGAAUAAUGAUCGGCUAACUACGUGCCAGCAGCCGCGGUCAUACGUAGGAUCCGAGCAUUAUCCGGAGUGACUGGGUGUAAAGAGUUGCGUAGGUGGCAUAAUAAGUAGCUAGUGAAAUCUGGUGGCUCAACCAUUCAGACUAUUAGCUAAACUGUUAAGCUCGAGACCGUUAGGGGUAACUGGAAUUUCUAGUGUAGGAGUGAAAUCCGUAGAUAUUAGAAGGAACACCAAUAGCGUAGGCAGGUUGCUGGGACGGGUCUGACACUAAGGCACGAAAGCGUAGGGAGCAAACGGGAUUAGAUACCCGAGUAGUC
rnacentral:rRNA from 1 species